GACGACGCUGGCGGCGUGGAUUAGGCAUGCAAGUCGAACGGUAUCAUCCUUUCGGGGGUGAGAGAGUGGCGAACUGGUGAGUAACACGUAGGUUAUCUACCUCAAGACGGGGACAACCCAGGGAAACUUGGGCUAAUACCGGAUGUGAGCAACUUUUAGUUGUUUGAAAGGUGGCGUAAGCUGUCGCUUGGGGAUGAGCCUGCGUCCUAUUAGUUAGUUGGUGAGGUAACGGCUCACCUAGGCAAUGAUAGGUAGGCGGCCUUAACGGGUGGUCGCCCACACUGGGAUUGAGAUACGGCCCAGACUCCUACGGGAGGCAGCAGUCGAGAAUAGUCUACAAUGGUCGGAAGACUGAUAGUGCGACGCCGCGUGAACGAUGAAUCCCUUCGGGGUGUAAAGUUCUUUUAUAUGUGAGCAGUGCUUCUUAUAUUAACAGUAUGGGGAGAGAGAUAUUAGCAUAUGAAUAAGCAACGGCUAACUCCGUG
rnacentral:rRNA from 1 species